rnacentral:lncRNA from 1 species
CUCUUACAGAAAGGCUGGAUUGCUCUCUUUGAGCCAGCACAUGGAUGAAAGUCUGCUAUCAAAGCCUCAUUUACCAAAGAGGUAGAUAGCAAUUUUAUGUAUUGAGGGAACAAAAAAAAACCAGCCUCACUCUUGGACACCUGCCUUUCAGAUACACAUUUGUCAGUCAGAGAACUGAGUGCUGCAGAUGCAAAGCAAACACUUUCAUGUCUUCUCUGAAUACUGACCGAGCUUUAGUACUGCUGGAAGAAUAUUGCAAAAAACUGCGGAAGCCAGAAGAGCAGCAACUGAAAAAAGCCAUCAGAAAGGUGAUGGGCAUCUUUAAGAGCAGCUUGUUUCAGGCACUCCUAGGUAUUUAACAUUCAUGGCACCACAAAAAACAAGGCAAUGUCCAGUUCCACAAGGUUCUUGAUAAAGCUGCUAGUACUGAGGAAAUCCAAAUGGAGGACUUUUUAGACAGUCACCUUUCUGAGAUAGCUUCAAAAAGAAAGCAACCAGACAUGGAACUACGUCCCACACGUCAUUGCCAGCAGCUCUUGCAUGUGAUGUCCUUGGAUGCCCUAAAGAUUAGCCAGUCUCAUCCAUCUGGCCCAUGUCACAGGGAUCAAAGGCAUUUUUCCCUCUACAAACUUAAGCUCAUGCUCUCUGAAAGUGAAGAGAACAAAUUUCAAGUUAGAGUCUGA